GGGCCCGUGGUGCAAUUGGCAGCACACCGCGACUUGCCAUCCCGGAGAUGCGGGUUCGAAUCCCGUCGGGUCCA
rnacentral:tRNA from 1 species